rnacentral:lncRNA from 1 species
CUGAUGUAUGUGUGUGUGUAUAUAUGUAUAUAUAUAUAUACACAUCAUUUUUAAUGCAUUGUGAAACGAGAAAGAUGUUAGAAAGUCUUUCAAGAGAUCUAGAGUUUAUAUGAUACCUCUUAAAUACCAACUGCAGAACAUAGAGACUGCCUACAUCAGCAUGAUUACUAGGACACUGAACCAAAGACUCAGCGAGCACAAGAAAGAUAUUAGCAUGGAUAAGACAACCAUGGCUUUGGCAGAACAGGCAUACACUAAUGACAUUGUUAUAGAUUGGGAUAAUGCAAGAGUAAUAAAGCCUAUCACUAAAUCAGCCCAAGUGGUCAUGCACGAGACCCUACAGAUGCUAACCAGAAAAGCAACAUAAAAUAUUGUGAACAAUAGACCUACAACUGAACUACCAGCACCAUGGACUUAUUUGUUAAAAGAAUGUGGAAAGAUCUAAAUAGAUCCGCCAUUCCAAACUUUAAUUAGUUGUUGCAUUAAUCCUGCUUAUCAAUUUAUAAUUGUAUCUAUUUUUAUUUUUAUUUAUUUUUUUGUUUUAUUGUCACUAUAGUAACCUUGUUCAG